ACAUUUGCUAAAGUGCUUACAGGUAGAGCAGAUAGUGCUGAUCUGAUGCCUGUUCCAGAAACAUCUGUGCCUGACCUUCAAGCUUGUAUUUAUAAAACAGAACUGAACUAGCUGGUAGCAUUUACUCUGGAAUGAAGGAUGGAACUGAUGGGAUUUUCCAAAAGGAGCAGAAAGUCAGUAGGAGAAAAGUUGGAGCUGUACAUCCUCAAUGAGUUGCUACUUCUGUUAUACACAGAAAAUUAAAAGUUGAAUGAAACCCGCAACUAAGAAAUACCAAGUUCAACUAAAUUAAUAAAAUGUGUGCUGUGGGCUGAAGAUGUAUAUUCUGGCAUUCCUCCUUUCCUCGAAUGUCCUGCCAAGGCAUUUCUGCCUGAAUACACUGAGACCAAGGAUGGCAUAUUAGAAAAAAAUUUCUUUUCCAAGCUAGAUGAAUCACUGCUUCUUCUCUGAAUUUCAGCUCUCCGUGACUAUGGUGGAGAAGCUGUUGACAAAGUGUUGUAUGCAGGGGCCACCUUUGACUCUCUUAUCCUUUUCUUUAUCUCCACCUUAUACUCAUCUAUAGUUCUAUGAACUCUAUCUUCCUCUCCCUAUUGUUGGAAAUUCUGAUUCUGAAUACUAAACCAGAAUUAGACGUGGAAGUCUGGUAAAGAUUAUUACCUUUAUUAUUGCUAAAACUGGGUUGGAAAAUGAAGCCUGAAUUGAUGGUCAAAAUGAGGCUUCCCACUGCUUUACCCAGGUUUGAAUCUCAGGAUUCAUCUGGGGAAACCAUGGUACAGCCUACACUAUGUAGCAGACAGCACAGGGAACAGAAACUCAACUUACACACCUGAGGAGAAAUCCUGAAAACAGGGAUCUCUAAGUAGACAUGGGCCUGCUGACUUGCCUCUGAAAGGCAGUCCCUGGACUCUGACACG
rnacentral:lncRNA from 1 species